UAGGCUGGGAGAUUUGUGGUUUUGGAACACUUUUGACGGGGAACGCUCUUAAGAGAAAAUAACAUAAGUGGGUUUCAUUUAAAAAAAUAUAUAUAUCAAUCCAGAUUGAUGUAAAGUUACACCCCUGUUCAUUACCCUGUGUUUUCAGGCUUUGCUCGGAGGGCCUGUGCUGUGUCUUGAACUCGUUUUCCAAUAUCACGGCUGCAUCCCUGGUUUUGAGUUUUAUUUUUGUCUAAAUUAAGGAAUUGGAGGCGGAUGGACUAAGUUUCGGAUUGGAACUAGGAUUAAGAUAAGGACAACUUCCGCAGCUUUUUUGGAAAGAAAAAAGGGAUCUUAAAGUCUCCAGGUGCCCCCAUUCUGUGUCAGCAGUGCUACUUCCUCAACCACCAUGUCGGAUGGCCGGAUCUAUGUGGGGAAUCUUCCUGUGGAUGUCCAGGAGAGAGACAUUGAGGAUCUCUUCUACAAAUAUGGAAAAAUCCGUGACAUUGAAUUGAAGAACAAUAGAGGCACUAUCCCAUUUGCCUUCGUCCGAUUUGAAGACCCACGGUGAGUUUUAGGGAUGGUCUUUGGCAAGUCCAAUCACAUUGCGCUUGUUGGAUGCCUUAAGUUUUACAAUAUCAUCUCCAGUGACUGGCUGCAGGAAAUGGAUGGAGACGGAAUUUCCAGGUCUAAGUCCACUAGUGAAACAAGCGUACUUUGGUAAGGAGUUCUUUGCUCUCUUCUCUUAGGGAUGCAGAUGAUGCUGUCUAUGGAAGAAAUGGAUAUGGAUAUGGAGACUCCAAGCUGCGUGUGGAGUAUCCUAGAUCCGCUGGUGCUAAAUUUGGUCCUAUGGGAGGUGGUGGUGGUGGAGGAGAAGGAGGAGGAGGACGUGGUGGAGGAGGAGGAGGAGGACCUAGGGGAAGAUUUGGACCACCAACCAGAAGAUCUGAAUUCCGGGUCAUAGUGACUGGUAGGUGGACGUCAUGAGUCAUAUCCAGUUCAUAUUUCUCUCUUUCACUGCAGCCUGGAGGUCAAGGGGAUUGGUAGCAUGGUGGACUUAAGAGUCUUAGGCAGAUAUGUUUCUCUCUCUCUCUCUCUCAUGGCGGAUUGGAAGACAAGGGGACUAGUAGAGGAUGUAAGAGUCCUAGGCAGAUAUGUCUCUUUUCCUCAUGGCGGACCAAAGGACAAGGGAAUAGUAGAGAAUGUCAUGAGUCAUAGGCGCAAAUGUUUCUCUCUCAUUGCGGACUGGAUGACAAGGGGACUAGUAGAGGACGUCAUGGGUCGUAGGCAGAUACAUGUCUCUCUCGCUUGGCGGACCGGAUGAGAAGGGGACUUAGGACAUCAUGAGUCAUAGGCAGAUAUGUUUCUCUCUUUCAUGGCGGACUGGAGGACAAGGGGACUAGUAGAGGACGUCAUGGGUCGUAGGCAGAUAUGUCUCUUUCGCUUGGCGGACCGGAUGAGAAGGGGACUUAAGACAUCAUGAGUCAUAGGCAGAUAUGUUUCUUUUUUUCGUGGCGGACUGGAGGACAAGGGGACUAGUAGAGGACACCAUGAGUCAUAGGCAGAUAUGUCUCUCUCUCUCUCUCUCAUGGCCAACUGGAAGUCAAGGAGACUAAGUGGAUGAGGUCAAGUCAGCUCCUUAAGUCCUUAAAAACAGUAAAACUGGUCAUUUUGGCUGCAUAAUCCCAAACACCAACUAUAGUGACUGGUAGGUGUGAUUUUUGUAUAUCAUUAUUUGCUGAAUGCUACAUUUAUUUAAUGUUUAUACAAGCAUGUUUUGUACAAGCUGUAAAAUUAGACUACUCUUCUAAGACCAACCCCUUAAAGUCUAAGAUUUAUAUACUUGCCUGACUUGACCUGUCAUACUAGGAACUAGAAUACUGUAAACACUGGGGUUCUGGUCUAAACAUAUUGGGGUUUACUGAACCAUUCAUCCAAUAAUUUAAUGUGAGCUUUUAAUUUUCAAUUGUUAAUUAAAAAUGUAUUUAAACUUAUUAGUAAAGGUGUUGUUUACCUCAAAAGUUUUAGACUUUGGCCAAAAACGUAACUUGUCCCUGCAAUGAUUUGAAAGUGCUAGGUAAUUUAGGAAGGAAGUUUUAUCCCCAUCACAUAUCACACAUUUUUCUCAUUCCAGGGUUACCACCAACUGGGAGCUGGCAGGAUCUGAAGGAUCAUAUGCGUGAGGCAGGAGAUGUUUGUUUUGCAGAUGUGCAGCGUGAUGGAGAGGGCGUGGUGGAAUUCCUCCGUAGAGAGGACAUGGAGUACGCAUUACGCAGACUGGAUCGAACAGAGUUCCGCUCUCAUCAAGGUGAGACCGCUUACAUCCGCGUUUAUGAGGAGAGGGGCACUCCCAACUGGAAUCGAUCACGUUCCCGAUCCAGAUCCAGAGGUCGCU